CCUUUUCAUGUUCUUUGACUGUUUUUCUAUUGACUGUUCAUUCUUCCUAGUAUUAAUAACUUUUUGUAUAUUUGAGAUUAACCAUUUUUGCCUAUUAUGUAUUUUAUAUAUAUGUCAUAUGUCAUUUUAAAUAUAAUGAAAUGUAUUAGUCUUUGUGGUUUCUAGUUUUCAUGAUAUGUUUUGAAAGGCUUAAUUGUUUUGUUACAAAGUCUGAACUUGAGUUAUGAAUGCAAAUUUCCCCUCUCAAAUGCCUAAUCUGUUUCCCAAACACCAUUUACUUAUCCCUUAAGGGAUUUACUUUUCCCUAUUUGAUCUAUUUCCCACCAAUUUUAAAAUGUCAUCUUUAUCAUAUACUAACUUCCUGUAUGUUCUUGCGUGUAUAUGAAACUGGCACAUACAGGGAGACUCUUUAUUUAACUUUUACUUAAAGUAGGAGGUAGGAAAGAGAUCUGUUGAAACCAUGACAGAGAGUGUUGCAGCGCCUGUCAAAGUUAUCCUUGCUUAUUUGUAGAAAAAUUGAACUUUCCAUUUUCCUAACUUUCAACUUGCAAUUGAAUGACACUGAUUCUACUAGGAAAAAAGUAAAAGCUAUACUAUUUGAUGCCAGAUGUAUGACUGUGGGCUGAUGAGGAAGAACUGGAAACAAAUGACAGAUAUGCAGGAGGAGAUAUCUUUUUAUGGCUUAGCAGAAUGCUGCUCAAAGCGCCAGUCUCUGAAGCUCUUUGUUCCUGACUUGCAACCAGGUAAGGAUCUUUUGCCAGGAUUUAAGUCAAUUAUGUCAUGAAGCACACUAUUUAGUUCAUCUGAAAUAUAUUUUUAUCUUGGUAGCAAGGUAGCAAGACUUUUCCAAUGCAGGAAGCUUCAGUGCUUUCAUUUAUAUUCUGAUGUAAGUUAUCUUAUUGCAGACCGGUAACAAACACUGUCUUCACAGCCAUUUGAGCCUUAGGUAUGAAUGGAGCAGCUUUGGGUGGAGGGAUAUCUCCAUGACUGGGUGGGAAAAGGUCCAGAAAGACAACAUUGGAGUCACCAAAUACUAACUGUUCACUAGGCUUGGCUGUUAUAAAAGCUGCCAAAAUUCAUGCUUAUGGUUUGACUGGAUUUCUUUUCUCUGCUUAGUAUGCCCUUCAGUAGAAGUGCCAAAAAAAAAAAAAAAAAGACAAACCCAGUUAUAUAGCCCAAAGAAGAGGAUUAAGUUAGUUAUCUGCAGCCUCUGGAUUGACUGUGAAGUCUGUUUGAAAAUGGGAGUGUUGGCCAGUAAAAUGUUUCCCUAAAAAACUCGAAGCUGAGGCCGGGCGCAGUGUCUCACGCCUGUAAUCCCAGCACUUUGGGAGGCUGAAGCGGGUGGAUCAUGAGGUCAGGAGAUCGAGACCAUCCUGGCUAACACAGUGAAACCCCGUCUCUACUAAAAAUACAAAGAAUUAGCUGGGCGUGGUGGCAGGCGCCUGUAGUCCCAGCUACUCGGGAGGCUGAGGCAGGAGAAUGCCGUGAACCCGGCAGGCGGAGCUUGCAGUGAGCCCAGAUAGCGCCACUGCACUCCAGCCUGGGUAACAGAGCAAGACUCCGUCUCAAAAAAAAAGAAAAAACAAAACUUGAAGCUGAGUGUUUCUGGGGACUCUCAUGAGCAUUUUUGACCAUCAAUUUAGAAGAAAUAUUCUGAUAUUACUAUUGCAUUACCAUUAUUUUAUCUAGAUUAAAUUGCUUCAUUUCUUAAAUGGUUCAGUCUAAAUGGGAAGACUUGAUAAUAAACAAAUAAUAACUAAAAGGAUUAGAAAGAUUCUAUGAUUCUAGAAUUCUUUCAAGUACACAGUUAUUUUAGAGAUCCACUUCCAGUAUUUAUUCACUUCAUUCAACAAAUAUUAAGUGCACACCUCCUAUGUGCCACACAAUGUACCAGGGCUACAUGGUAUACAAUGAUCAAUAGGAGACAUGGUCCCUUAUGGUGUUUGUAAUGUAGUGGGGGAGAUAUAAGCAAUUAAAUCCAAGUCAAUGUAUGAAUAAAUAUAUAACAAUGAAUCGUGAACCUCAUACGAAAUGAAAAGGCAAAUAGUUAAUAAUUGUCAGACAUAAAUUUCAGUUCAGUUGAAUUCAGCAAAUGGUUUUUGAGCAUCUAUUUUGUGCCAGGCACUGUGCUUAGUAUUAAGGAUACAGAGAUGCAUAGGAGAACAUUCUUGUCCUCAGAUCCACUUGGCACUAUACCUGAGUAACACCUACGCCUCUCCUCAACUCCCAUUUGAUUUUGUUGGUUGAUUUGUGUAGGUUUGGCUAUUUCACCUGCUGUUCAUUCCACACUCUUAGUGUGUAACAGUGAGGUAGGGCUUUCUGGUACCUGUUUGUCUGCAGAUGUAGAAUCAACUCUUGUGUUUGUGAAUUUGACUCAGAGAAAAUAUUUAAAUGAUUUGACCUUUGAGAUGCCCAGCUGAGCUGCUGAGCGGACACAGACUCAACAGAACUAAGAAUUGUUGAACAUCUAUCAUAAAAUUAUAGGCUUAGAUUCAAAGUGAUCACAGGAUAUGCUCAUUUCUUCCCUUCCCUUCCCUUCCCUCCCUCCCUUCCUUCCUUCCUUCCCUUUCUUCCUUCCUUCCUUUCUCUCUUUUCUCUUUUUCUCUUUCUCUCUAUUUUUCUCUCUUUCCUUCCUUUCUUUCCUUCCUUUUCUUUCUUUUUUUUUUUAGCUUUGCUUUGCUUUCUUCUUUCUCAGGGUCUCCCUAUGUUGCCCAGGCUAGACUCAAACCUCUGGGCUCAAGCAAUGCCCCUGUCUCAGCCUCUUAAGUAGCUGGGACUACAGGCAUGCACCACCAUGCCCAGUUUGCUCAUUUAUUUAUUGUAUCUGGGAGUCUUCCACAUGCUAGGCACUGUUCUAGGCACGGGGUAAUAGCAGUGAACAAAACAGACACACACCCCCUCCCCUCAUGCAACUUGCACCUCACCCAACGUUUAACAUAUCCUGACAGUCGGUCAUUCCUUUCAACUUAAACAUCUUCACUAUCAGAGAACUCAUCUCCUUAUGGGGAGUUGUCUCAUUUUUAAACAGUUUGAAAUAUUGGAAAGCUCUUUAUUAUACUGAUCCCAAAUCCUUUUCCCUGUAGCUUUUACCUGCUAGUCUGACUAAGGUUCUAUAUUUGAACCAGUUUGGAAAUAGCUAAUCCUUCUUUCUGGGAACCCUUCAAAUAUUUGAAAAAAAUACUUGUGUUUCUUUUAAGGCUCCCCAUUUUGUUAGCUGAUAUAGAGAAAUAUGUGUAGAUACACGAGUACUUGGAUAUCAUCUAAUAAAGCAAUUGCACCUCGAAUUUUGCUUGUUGGGUGUAUUUGUCCUUUAGUUCUCAGAAUCUAUGAAGUGCAGGCAUGUUAACCAUCUCUCCAUCACGGUUGAAAUAGAAACUUACCCUUUCAUGUGCAGUCAUUUGAUGCUCACAACAAUCCUGUGUGCCAGGUGUUAUCAUCACCAUUUAACAGAUAAGGACGCUGAGAUGAAAAAGUUAAGAAGUGGCUUACCCUGUGUGUCAUAGCCUAUGACCUGAACCAGGCCUUCUGCCUUCAAAUUUUAUGUUUUUUGUUUCUUUCUUUCUUUUUUUUUUUUUUUGUAUUUUUUUGUAGAGACAGGAUCUUGCUAUAUUGCCCAGGCUGGUCUAGAACUCCUGAGUUCAAGCCAUCCUCCUGUCUCAGCAUCCCGAAAUGCUGGGAUUACAGGUGUAAGCCACAGUGCCCAGCCUCAUGUUCUUCAUACUCUAUUACUACCCACCUCCUCCAUACCUUGCUGGUCUUAAAGUGGAAGUGAUGUUAGGCUUUAGAAUUUCUGACAUCAGAUAGUUGUUGCUGGAAGAAUAGUGAGUUCAAUCUACAAAGGAUCCUUUUCUGCAUGUUAGGAGAACUAGAUCGGAGGGCAGUUCCUGGUGGCGCCCACUGUGCCUUACCACUCCUGGGAUUCGUUUCACUUAUUCCUCUUCCCUGCUUCCCUUCAUUUCCCUGCCUUUCUUUUCUAUUCUUUGUUUUUCUUUUUGCUUUUCUCUUCUGCUAAUACAUAGGUUUUACUCUCAUGGUCUGAGCUCUGACUUCAGAGCUAAAGCAUUCUUUGUCAUUGGCACGAGCAGUGGCCAGACUCCAAGUACCUCUGAGUCUGCAGAGGAGGUGCAAUAAGCAUACCCAUUAAGCCACCAAAUUGAAAAGUAUUUGGAGGAAAUUGCUCCAGCAGUAGAUUCUAUGCUCCAUGUUAGGGGGCAGUGAGAAAAUCCCACAUAAAGUAUAAUAUACAACUUAGUAAACUACAGUAAAGCUGGAGGGAGUUUUGGUUUAGGACAUAGAUACCAAAUGUAUAAUGGGAUGGUGCUGCUAUAGCUUGGAUAUCUGACCCUCUAAACCUCAAGUUGAAAUUUGAUCUUCAGGGUUGGAGGUGGGGCCUCGUGGGAAGUAUUUGGGUCUUGGAGGAAUCUCUCAUGAAUGACUUGGUACUAUCCUUGAGGUAAUGAAUGAGUUCCCACUCUAUAAGUUCCUGUGAGAGCCUGAGAGCUUGUUGUUAAAAAAUGUCUGGCACCUCCCUUCUCUCUUUUGGCUUCAUUCUUGCCAUGUGCUUUCUGCAUAUGCAGCCCCUAUUCACCUUCCAGCAUGAGUGGAAGCAGUCUGAGGCCCUCACCAAAAGCAGAUGCUGGCUCCAUGCUUCUUGUAUAGCCUGCAAAACCAUGAGCCAAAUAAACCUCUUUUCUUUAUAAAUCACCCAGUCUCAGGUAUUCCUUUAUAGCGACACAAAUGGACUAAGAUAGUGCUGUUAUAAUCAUAUUCCAGAAAAGCUGUUAAUGUUGCAUGGGAGUAGAAAGAAUAUCAG
rnacentral:lncRNA from 1 species